GAUGAACGCUAGCGGCAGGCAUAAUACAUGCAAGACGAACGGUAAGUUUGGUAGCAAUACUGAACCUAGAGUGUCGUACGGGUGCGUAACACGUAUGCAACCUACCUUUUACAGGAGUAUAGCUCCCCGAAAGGGGAUUAACCCUCCAUAAUAUCAUUGGAUGGCAUCAUUUGAUGAUUAAAACUGAGGUGGUAAAAGAUGGGCAUGCGUCUGAUUAGUUAGUUGGCAGUGUAACGGACUACCAAGACGAUGAUCAGUAGGGGACCUGAGAGGGUGAUCCCCCACACUGGCACUGAGAUACGGGCCAGACUCCUACGGGAGCAGCAGUAGGGAAUAUUGGACAAUGGGUGAGAGCCUGAUCCAGCCAUGCCGCGUGCAGGAAGAAGGCGUUAUGCGUUGUAAACUGCUUUUGCCAGGGGAUAAAACGGUUCUGCGGAACUAAUUGAAGGUACCUGGUGAAUAAGCCACGGCUAACUACGUGCCAGCAGCCGCGGUAAU
rnacentral:rRNA from 1 species